UGUCGUUGGUAUUGGAUUGAUUGGUUAUUGCGUGGAUCAAUCUGAGGACAGAUUUCAUCAUUGUGAGAGGAGCAGCAUCAUUGUGGAACUGUAUGACUGUGUAUGUGUGAAAUUGGUCAAGUGAAUCACUUAUUACCUAGGUGUUAGUAUUGUAUAUUGCCAGAAAUAUCUAAGAAGAAGAGCAUAAGUUCAGCAUGCUAACAGGUAAACCAAUGUUUAUAUUUCUUUAUUCCAUAUAUAGCCAGAAAUAUCUAAGAAGAAGAGCAUAAGUUCAGCAUGCUAUGAGGUAAACCAAUGUUUAUAUUUCUUUAUUUCAUAUAUAGCCAGAAAUAUCUAAGAAGAAGAGCAUAAGUUCAGCAUGCUAUGAGGUAAACCAAUGUUUAUAUUUCUUUAUUUCAUAUAUAGCCAGAAAUAUCUGAGAAGAAGAGGAUGAAACAUUUUAAUUCAAUAUGACGGAAUAUUGAACCUCUACUGUGGCGCUGUCGGACAACAAAAACAACUCGCACCAAAAUAGCAGCAAAGUCCCUCUACAUCAUGGUGAAUUCAAGCAUGGCAAUGUACAGUAAUAUAACAUACUAUGCUGAACAGUGGCAGAAGAUGUCUGGGAAUAUUAGUCAACAGAUUUAUAUUCUACAGG